CCUACGGGAGGCAGCAGUGAGGAAUAUUGGUCAAUGGGCGCGAGCCUGAACCAGCCAAGUAGCGUGAAGGAUGACUGCCCUACGGGUUGUAAACUUCUUUUAUAAAGGAAUAAAUUGAGGCACGUGUGCCUUUUUGUAUGUACUUUAUGAAUAAGGAUCGGCUAACUCAGUUCCAGCCGCCGCGGUAAUACGGAGGAUCCGAUCUUUAUCCGGAUUUAUUGGGUUUAAAGGUAGCGUAGAUGGGUUGUUAAGUCAGUUGUGAAAGUUUGCGGCUCAACCGUAAAAUGGCAAUUGAUACUGGCAGCGUUGAGCACAGUUGAGGUAGGGGGAAGUCGUGGUGUAGCGGUGGAGUGCUGAGACAUCACGAAGAAGUCCGAUUGCGAAGGCAGCCUACGAACCUGCCACAGACAUUGAUGCUCGAAAGUGAGAGUAUCAGACAGGAUCAGAAACCCUUGUAGUC
rnacentral:rRNA from 1 species